CAAGACGUAGUAAAUCGAAUUAUUCUUCCUUUUGUUAAGCUUGCGCUUCCCUUUGACUUUUCUGAACCGCUUUUCAAAACCAUAAAACUGGACAACACGAAUGUGUUAAUUUUAAAUAAACACGAGGUGCUACACUUUCCCUCCAUAAAAAAGUUUGUCGCGCAGUUCAGACGCGAGUCGGACGCAAGAGUCAAGUAUUCGAUAGCGCUUCCCAAGGAGAGUGGCACAGAUAUAGAAAAAUUGCUGCACUCUAACGGCGUUCCUUAUAAGCUGCAACAACCAAAGAGCGAUCUUUAUGAAAACUACAAGUUUUACAAAAUCUACUGAAGAAUCUUUUAUUAUUGUGAAUAUUGUAAAGCUCGGGUAUCUUCAUGUCUUAAAGCUUCAAGUAUUUUUUUAAAGUGAACGCUCUGGCGGAUUCCCGAGAG